rnacentral:rRNA from 1 species
UACGUAGGGCGCAAGCGUUGUCCGGAAUUAUUGGGCGUAAAGAGCUCGUAGGCGGCCUGUUACGUCUGCUGUGAAAUCCCGGGGCUUAACCCCGGGCGUGCAGUGGAUACGGGCAGGCUGGAGGCAGGCAGGGGAGAACGGAAUUCCCGGUGUAGCGGUGAAAUGCGCAGAUAUCAGGAGGAACACCAGUGGCGAAGGCGGCUCACUGGCCCGGUACUGACGCUGAGGUGCGAAAGCGUGGGGAGCAAACAGG